AAAAACAUCGCCUUCUGCAAAAAUAGAAGGUCUAGCCUGCCCAGUGACCAAGUUAAACGGCCGCGGUACCCUAACCGUGCGAAGGUAGCGCAAUCACUUGUUCUUUAAAUGAGGACUAGUAUGAACGGCAUCACGAGGGUUACACUGUCUCCCACCUCUAAUCAGUGAAACUGAUCCCCCCGUGAAGAAGCGGGGAUAAACUUAUAAGACGAGAAGACCCCAUGGAGCUUUAAACUCAGUACCAAUCACCUAUAACCACACCACAAUAACCCGGUGAUCCUGAUUACUAGUUUUAGGUUGGGGUGACCACGGAGCAUAAUUAAACCUCCAUGUUGAAAAACUUCCUCUAAUCCAAGAGUGACAACUCUAAGAAUCAAAAACCGACAUACAUUGACCCAAAUAUUUUGAUCAACGAACCAAGUUACCCUGGGGAUAACAGCGCAAUCCAUUUCAAGAGCUCCUAUCGACAAAUGGGUUUACGACCUCGAUGUUGGAUCAGGGUAUCCCAGUGGUGCAGCCGCUACUAAAGGUUCGUUUGUUCAACGAUUAAAACCCUACGUGAUCUGAGUUCA
rnacentral:rRNA from 1 species